rnacentral:pre_miRNA from 1 species
UCAUAUGGAUGAUCAAAGGAAAUGGUUUCUUGAGACAAAAUCUACUGCUGGUGAAGAUGUUGUGAA